AGAAUCAAACCAGACAGAGGAUCAAAGGCAGGCAGAGGCAAAGUAAUAAGCAAGAGAAGCAUGCCGCUAUUUCAAAAAAAGGCUUUGGCCAUCAAUCCAUGUUUGUUCCCUGAUGAAGAAGUUACAUCAUUUGAGUGGGACUUCAUCUGAGCUCCAGGGUGGACAGGACAGACCUGGAUGAAAAUCAAAGAGGGAAUUUUCAGUUGCUGUUGCCCAUAGUGAUAGUUGGUAAGUGCCAUGGAACGGAUGCUGGUGUUGGACCCUGACAGGCAUGUGAGUGCUGCUGAAGCUCUGGAGCUCUCAAUGUUCUCAGAGUUCAGAGAGCCAGAGGAGGAGACAGAGGCGCUACCCUAUGAUCAUUCCAUGGACAACACUGACCUACCUCUGGAGCAGUGGAAAUGUAAGGAGUGGGGAGGGGGAGCAGAAAUCAAGGAAGCAAAAGAAAGAAAAAGCAAAAAGCAAAGAGGGAGAGAUGAAUAGAUUGAUGAAUCAGAUUGUAUGAGAGAUUGGUAAAGACAGAUAGUAUGAGUGAGAACAUAGAGGGGUGAUAAAAAGAGUGGCAGAUGGAGGAAGAGAGAGUGAAUUAAAGAGAGAUGAUUAACUGAUGGCAGCAGUGGAACCAAAUGCCACAUCUUGCCAGACAUGAGUUCACAUUUUCUCCUCUUCUCUGUCUCCCUCUACAGGUCACACCUUUACAGAGAUCCUCUUAUUCCAGCCUCCACUCAUAGAGCUCAGAGACUCCAAAGAGACUUCUCUCUGAGUGCACAAGGCUUUUUGUCAUGUUUCAUAUGUCAUUAAAACAGCAGAAUCACUCUGGAACAGUUUAGUUUACUUUUCGUUCUUGUUUUUUGUGUAGGUUGUAUAUCUUUAUUAAAUACUUUAGAAAGACAUUAAGCAGUUUCUGAAUGAAAUGUGUAGAAUCAGAAUGUUGGCCGGUAUUUAAUGUGAACAAAGAUGUUGGAAUAUUGCUGCACUUUACUAAUUUGUUUCUACAUUGAUCACUGUACACAGUAUUGGGAAGAAUACUGAAUGAAUCUCAGAGUUACUCAGAGUAAUAUAUAUUACAACAUGAACUAGUCUGUGUAGUAAUAACAUAGCAGCGGGUUAAAGGUAUUAGAGGAAAUGAUUCCUCCUUUGUAGACGAGUCAUGUAUCACCUAACGAAAAACGGCUCCGUAGUUUUUUCUAACCGUUAACAGUCGCAGUUCAACGCUGUGCCUUUUCCAGACAUACAAAUUGGUUAAAACCUUUAAAAUAUUAGAAUCCAACAUGAGAAAUCUAUAUAUGUACCUGUACAUAAACCUGUAUUCAAAAGUUUGUGCACCCCUGGUCAGGUAACAUGUUUUCUUGAUUUUCUAAGUGAAAAUAACUUUAUCUACAGAGAACAUACUUCUGCACAUUGUAAUGAACAACUUAUUGGGAAAAGGUAAAGCAUGUGGCCUGUGUAAAUGGCACAGGCCUAUGGCAUUUUUUAGAUUUUAUAUUUGAUAUUUUUCAUGUUAAAUUUUAGGCAAAAAAAAAGUACAAAAAUGGCACAAUGAAUGUCUGUAGACAAUGUGUAACUGACUUUCACUGAGAAUAUCAACUAAUAUUCAGUUUGACGAGGUGUGUUUGUGUUUAAACGUUUGCGUAUGCAUGUAUAAUUUAGUAAUUCUUGAGAUAAUCAUUUUUCUUCUGAUGUAUUUAUUUUGCAUUCAUCAUGAGGAGAGGUGAAAACCCUACAAAGAAGACCUUCCUUCCUGAACUGAGGAACAUUCCAGAACAUCCCUCUAACCCCCUUGCUGGUAGAUGCCGAGCCAGUAAGCUCAGUGACCAAGAGUCAAAGGCACUGCCUGAGCAGGUGCGUGAAUGCAGAGUCCACAAUUGCUGGAGCCUCCUGGAGGAUCACAGAACCUCAGAACCUCCGUAAACACGUCUUUGGGCUGCUUGGAACCCCUGACACAAGAAAAGAGAGAAGUGAUGGAGUCCAAAAGAUAUAUGAGCAGCAACAAUCUUCUAUCAGAAAGCCACAGCCCCCCACCAGCAAACCAAAAACAUCAAAGAAAGGCUGGACCAAUCGCAGACUGCACCUGCUAAUCUCUGCCGAACCUGUGAAGAAUAUGCGCGUCCUCUUGAGUCUGUUCCAGUGAAUCCAACAUCUGGAAAUGCACCAGAAACAGUGGAGAACAGCUCUAGUGAGAAGAGGACUGAUGGGGUAAAGAACUACUCUUGGUUGUGUGAGAAAGCAGGUGUAGAGGGUGAGGUUUUUUAUCAGGAUUUGGAGAGCCUGACACCCGAAACAUCAACAAACACAACAAGAGCAUCAGAACCAUUCGCCGGGUUAAGACACUGCCUGUGGUCCCCAUCAUCCCCAAAGGGCCGGAACCGGAUCAUGCUGACGUCUUAUCUAAGAGCACAGCAAAGGAAUGACGGAGGAAGAUUUGGCUUUGGUGGCAGGAAACUCAUCACCCUGGACCUGCCACACCCCCUUCCUUUUAAACCUGUGACCCAAAACCCCACUCAGACUCGUAGGAUCAUGAUGCAGUGAGCUUGGGGUCGCCCAGCCUGCCCACCAGAGGAAAGACUACUGUACUGACCGCUGUGCACCUGACAUCAAUCCCUCAGAGUGCUCAACACUCACCUCCUGGUCCCUUCUCAGCUCUAUAUGGACAGGCAGGCUGAGCUCAGAGACUCACUUGUGUAUCUGGAGAGGUGGUUGAGUAAGCAGAACGUUCUGUAGCUCCAGAUCAUCUCAACACACAGGUUGAGCUGAACUGUCACGAUUGGCCCCUCCCAGUCCUGUCCAUGUGUUUGUGUUUUGGUUUAGCCCCCUUGUUUCCACCUGAUUGUUUCCACCUGUCCCUCAUCAGCCCUGUUGUAUUUGCCCUUUGUUUGUCCUUUUGUCUGGGCUGGUCUAUGUUAUCUGCUGUGUUGGUUGUAUUGGUCUUUGUUUGUAUGUUCGAUUCUGGUUUAUGUCAUGUAUGCCCCCCGA